rnacentral:rRNA from 1 species
UGGGGGAUUUUGCACAAUGGGCGCAAGCCUGAUGCAGCGACGCCGCGUGUGGGAUGAAGGCCUUCGGGUUGUAAACCUCUUUCGCUGGGUGGAAAGGCCAUGCUUUGGGUGUGGUUGAUUUGAUCUGGUAAUGAAGUACCGGCUAACUACGUGCAAGCAGCCGCGGUAAUACGUAGGGUAUUAGCGUUGUCCGGAUUUAUGGGGCGUAAAGGGUGUGUAGGUGGUUUUUCGCGUCUGUCGUGAAAUCCUGUGGCUUAACCAUGGGCUUGCGGUGGGUACAGGGAGGCUUGAGUGCGGUAGGGGGGAGAGGAAAUCCUGGUGUGGCGGGGGGAUGCGCAGAGAUCAGGGGGAACACCGGUGGCGAGGGCGGGACUCUGGGCCGUUACUGACACUGAGGGGCGAAAGCGUGGGGAGAGAACAGG